UGAUGAAGGCUUUCGGGUCGUAAAACUCUGUUGUUAGGGAAGAACAAGUGCUAGUUGAAUAAGCUGGCACCUUGACGGUACCUAACCAGAAAGCCACGGCUAACUACGUGCCAGCAGCCGCGGUAAUACGUAGGUGCGAAGCGUUAUCCGGAAUUAUUGGGCGUAAAGCGCGCGCAGGUGGUUUCUUAAGUCUGAUGUGAAAGCCCACGGCUCAACCGUGGAGGGUCAUUGGAAACUGGGAAACUUGAGUGCAGAAGAGGAUGGUGGAAUUCCAUGUGUAGCGGGGAAAUGCGUAGAGAUAUGGAGGAACACCAGUGGCCAAGGCGACUUUCUGGUCUGUAAGAGAGACUGAGGCGCGAAAGCGUGGGGAGCAAAGAGGAUUAGAUACCCUGGU
rnacentral:rRNA from 1 species